GGCCAAGUUAAGUUUAUUNUGGUAUAAAAGGAAGUAAAAAUAANCGCUAUUUAAAAGGUUUAAUUUAUUGUGGGGAGGUGGAAUUCUUUACACAGGAAANNUUAUAUUAGGUACUUNUUUAUAUUUUUGAUGCUUCGAUAGUUAGAUGAGAGACCGGGAUUAGAUACCCCGUUAUUUUUCCUGUAAAUUUUGAUUAUUGGAUAAUUUACCUGAGUAUUACGAGUUGGAUAUNAUUUUAUAGACUAAAAUUGUAGUUAUAGAUNUUAUUUNAGAUACUUAAAACUCAAAGAACUUGGCGGUGCCUUAUUUCCUCCCAGGGGAACCUGUCNCUGUAAUCGAUAAUCCACGAUUGAUCUUACUUUUUUUUGAAUUNNNNNNNNNNNAUAUCAGUUUGUAUACCGUCGUCGUCAGAUUACCUUUGAGAGUUAAGAAGUUGUCAGAUGAAUUAGGGAACUAGUUUUANNNNUUUAUUUUUAAUAAAUGAAAUUGUUUUAGUUUUUGACGUCAGAUCAAGGUGCAGCUUAUGGAAAAGUAGAGAUGGGUUACAAUACAGAUUUUGUAUUAUGGAUAUUAACUUGUAAUAGUUAAGUGAAAGCGGACUUGGNAAGUAAUGUUAUUUUAAUGAAGUUUAAAUUAGUAAGUUUAUGUGAAUAAAGGUACUAAGGUGCGC
rnacentral:rRNA from 1 species